rnacentral:rRNA from 1 species
UAACACCGGCGGCUCGAGUGGUAACCGUUAUUAUUGGGUCUAAAGGGUCUGUAGCCGGCCGGAUAAGUCUCUUGGGAAAUCCAGCAGCUUAACUGUUGGGCUUUCAGGAGAUACUGUCUGGCUCGAGGCCGGGAGAGGUGAGAGGUACUUCAGGGGUAGGGGUGAAAUCUUGUAAUCCUUGAAGGACCACCAGUGGCGAAGGCGUCUCACCAGAACGGACCUGACGGCAAGGGACGAAAGCUAGGGGCACGAACCGGAUUAGAUACCCGGGUAGUCCUAGCCGUAAACGAUACUCGCUAGGUGUCGGCCACGGUGCGACCGUUGUCGGUGCCGUAGGGAAGCCGUGAAGCGAGCCACCUGGGAAGUACGGCCGCAAGGCUGAAACUUAAAUGAAUUGACGG